UCUGUCACGUUUACUUUCUCUAAUAAAAAGUCUACUGAAGACGGAUAAACGUCAUUCGUUCUUUUCUCGCCCAAGAAACCGUUGUCGCGGGCCCUGGGUUGAGUCUGCUGGCCAGACUCCCCGAGACGUUUGCGGCAUCCUGAUCUGAGAACAAUGUCCUUGGUGUUUUGAUUGAAAUUGCAUCAAACCUGUAAAUUACUUUGGACAGUAUGGACAUUCUGUUGAUAUUAAUCCUUCCAAUCCAUGAAUAUGGUCAGAAGAGGCACAGCUCUAUUCUGGAAAGAUUUGGAACCAGCAAUUUGAGAGAGAAGCUUUACAUCAAGACAAUAGGUACACUCAUCUUCAAAGACAGGUGGUUAUUCUCAUCAAGAGUAGAAAAGCCAACUGAAUUAUUGUCAACUAACUUAGGUGUUAUCAUGGAUUAAGUGGUGUCCUCCAAGAAUGAUGCACUGAGUCCCUACUACCCCAGAAUGUGAACUUAUUUGGAAUGAGGGACUUUACAGAGUUAAGUAAAUUAACAUGAAGUCAUUAGGGUGGACCCCAUGCAGUUAUGAAUGGUGUGUUUAUAAACAGGGCAAAUUGAAGCACAAACACAUGCAUGGAAGAAGGACCAUGUGAAGAGACAGGGAGAACACCAGGUGAAGAUGGAGGCUGAGAGCUGAGUGGUGCAAAGACUGCCAGCUACCAAGAGGAGGUUUUUUGUUUGUUUGUUUGUUUGUUUGUUUUGACAGGCAGAGUGGACAGUGAGAGAGAGAGAGACAGAGAGAAAGGUCUUCCUUUGCCGUUGGGUCACCCUCCAAUGGCCGCCGCAGCCGGCGUGCUGUGGCCGGCGCACCACGCUGAUCCAGCCAGGUACUUAUCCUGGUCUCCCAUGGGGUGCAGGGCCCAAGUACUCGGGCCAUCCUCCACAGCAGAGAGCUGGCCUGGAAGAGGGGCAACCAGGACAGAAUCCGGCACCCCGCCUGGGACUAGAACCCGGUGUGCCGGUGCCGCAAGGCGGAGGAUUAGCCUAGUGAGCCGCAGCGCCUGCCCCAAGAGGAGUUUUGAGAGGCAAAGAGCAGGUUCUUUCUCACAGCCCUUGGAGGCAAUCAACCCUUUCAACUCCUUGACUUCAGAUUUCUGGCCUGUAGAACUCUGAGACAAUACAUCUGGUUGUUUAAGUCAUCCGGUGUGUGCUAUUUUGUCAUGGCAGCCUAGGAGACUAAUAUAGGGGGUAAGCUAAUCACAGAAAAAUAACUCAGUACUGAACAAGACCAGUUACUACAGACUUUUCUAUUCUCUGAAAUUGUACAAUUGAUAGGUGCCAUUAGGAAGAUGAUACUUUCAGCCAUUUUCAGGGUCAUAAUCACAGUCAUUUACCAGGUUCAAGCAGAAUAGUCAAGGCCAACUUGUGAGCACAGGCAUCUACCUCCGGAAAUAUAUCCCCUGCUGAACUUAAAGCUCUGUCUUUUCCCGGUACUCAUCUCUACAGUUUUCUCUCUUUUCAAGAGGUUACAUUGGUUUUACAGAUUAUCGUGCUUGCUUAGCUGCCUUCCCAGGUUGGAAUAGUAGAAGGGAAGAAGAGAAAUAAAAUUAAAUUAAAUUAGUCUUAAGCUAAAUCUUCAUAUUACUGUCAUGACCUUAGCAAGUACCUUUCCUGCGACAGUGUUAUGAGAAAUUUCAAGCAUUAGGCAGCAGCUACAAUUGUCCGUCUACCUCCACUACCAAUUUUUUCUUUUUCUGAGUGUUCCAGCACCUGCUGGAGGCAAAUCAAGCUCUUGAAUUGUUAGGAUGGAUGCUCAGACCAGUGGUAUCUACUUUCUGUGAAAAUGUUUUUAGGAUAAUCUGUUUUCAUCACAUCAAGCACUAAGACAGUCAGUUAACAGAAGAAAUAUUAAAGGCAAUAUUUUUUAUUAAGGUAACCCACAUACUAUUUUUUCAUUUAAACAUUAAAGUGGAAGUAGUCAACAAAGUCUUAUUGAGGAAGAAAUAGGAAGGAAAUUGAUUCAAAAACAAACAGAUGCUGCUGAUAUCAUCUCUGGAAGCUGGGAAACUGGUCCACUUUAGUCUCUCAUCUUUUUCACCUUCUCCUGAAGUACCACCCACUUUUUUGCCAUUCAUUUCAGCUUGUCUCCCAAUAUGCCAUCUGUCUGCCUCAUCUGAGAAAGCUCACAGAUGAAGAAUAAAAUAGGGUAAGAUAAAGGAGGCCAAAUUAUGCUAGAGGGUUGUGAUGGAAAAAGAGAUACCCCUGGCCCACUUGUCUUGUUACUGUUCACAGUUUCAUACCUCCUUGCCAAUUUGAUUUAUGGAUAUAAACAUACAGUCAAUGACAGCCAGCCUAGAAUUAUAAUCUCCACAAUUCUGAGGAGACAGACCUCAGGUUAGUUUGGUUUAAUAUGACUAGAGUUUCUCACUGCAAUGCAGAGAAAAAGAAAUAACUGUGCAUACAAAGGCCACAAAAUUAAAGAUUACAAGAACAUCUUGGAUGU